rnacentral:rRNA from 1 species
UAUAAAGGAGUACUACAGGUGUCUCCAAAGGUACAUGUUGGGUUGGCGUAUUUCGAGAUUAGGUUUUGUCACUCCGAUUGUCGGAGAGGUAUCUCUGGGCCCUCUCGGUAAUGCACAUCACUAUAAGCUUUGCAAGCAAUGUAGCUAAUGAGUUAGUUACGGAAUGAUGCAUUACGGAACGAGUAAAGAGACUUGCCGGUAACGAGAUUGAACUAGGUAUUGGAUACCGACGAUCGAAUCUCGGGCAAGUAACAUACCGAUGACAAAG